GGAGGCAGCCAGAGUGUUCUCUGCAGCAGAAGACCCCUUGCUGCCCUGCUUAACCCAGACCAGCAUUUGCCAGAUCAGUUGAGUUCAACUCAGGGUCGGUCUAACAGUACAGAGGUUAAAUAGAGAAGAGGCAGAGUUUGGCUCUCUCUAGCCGGUCAAUCUGCAGCAUUCCCAGGAAACAGCUAAAAGGGCAGCUGACCUGAAGGAGGCACUGCAGCUCAAAGCAGGAUUUCUGUGUGUGAUCUUCCACCUACAGGGCUGUGUCGGAUGUGACACCGAGCCAGAGGCAUCUCACUUUCUUACCCCUCCACCCCCGGCGCCUCCUGUCUGAGAAGAACACAGACGUGGUCAAUGUACCUGAUGAUACUCCAACCCUGGAGACAAAGGAUGUCCCUCUUGAUGGGCCUGAUUGGGAGGAGGGGGAGGACAGCUCAGGCACCCGCUUAGGAUCAGGACCAUCCUAAGCUUCAGGAUGAGGCAAGGCUCUUGACUGCUAAUUAAGCCCUGCAUUUGCAGCCAGCCUUUUGCUGGUUCAACAGCUCCUUUUUUGAAGCUCUAGCCUCCAGCUGUUGCCUUGCUAGACCUGGGGAUGCACAGCUACUGAUCAGUGAUCAUCGCCAUAUCUGUGGCAGCAAUUUUUAUGAAUUAAUGGUAAAUGAGGAGCACCAGAGCAAUACUUCCUUCCUUUUGUCCUGAAUCUUUGACAAAUCAAUUACACUGGAUGAAUUUUAGUUCUAGUAUUACGAGAGAGAGAGAGAGAGAGAGAGAGAGAGAGAGAGAGAGAUUGAUUGAUUCUCUGUCCACUUUCUCUGCCUUAUGUAUCAUUUUAUAAACCUCCAUCAUAUUCCUUUUUCGUUGGUCCCAGGCCCUCCAACCCAUGCAAACUAAAAACUACCAAACACAUUAGUUUUUCUCCUCAUUGUAAGGUAUUCCAAACCCUGAUAAUUUUGGUUCAGUUUCCUGAAUCUUUUUCAUCACUUCCCUUUUGGAGAUGGCAUGAGCUCCUAUGUUAACAUUCACAAAUUGAUUUUCAACUUCAAAAAACACAAACACCACCAUAUGAAUAUAUUAUAUUAUAUUAUAUUAUAUUAUAUUAUAUUAUAUUAUAUUAUAUUAUAUUAUAUUAUAUUAUAUUAUAUUAUAUUACAUGGGUUUACAAAAACAUGCAAAAGACUGCCAUUUUCCCAUGGCUGCCAUACUGGAAUCUGUGCAUUUUUCAAGGUGGCUCCAAACGAUAUCUAUACUCCUGCAAAAGAGGAGCUUUUAACCACAAUUUGCCAUUUCCUUAAAAGUAAUUGCAGGUCUAGGGGUGCAUACGGAUCUAUGGGGAAAGUCACUGGGGCUUCCAACAGCUUCGAAUCCUUUCAGUGACCCUCCCCAGUACUUUAAACUGGACUGCUCUAUGUGGAGGUCAGUGCUGGGAGCUAAUUUGCCUCCUCUUGGGGCAAUGUACAGAUGAUUUGGCUUUGAUGUUUCAAAGCCAAAUCUUUGCAUAGCCCAGGCAGGUACUAUCCACAGCCAUAACAUAAGAGACUUGGUAAUGAGCAUCCUGCACAAUUUUGGACCAGACCUCUGCUCUAAAUAUGCUUUGUCUAGUUAAACUGGCUGGUAGUCAGAAGAGAAAGAUUACAAUUAGGGCCAGAGAUCAGCAAAAUACUUCUACAAGGUAUUUUAGAUACAAAAUACCCAAGCAAAUGUAUUUUAGGAACAAAAUACUGGGUAAACAACCAAUAGAAAUACAAAAUAGUAUUUUAAAAUACAAAAUACAAUUAUUAUAUAUUUAUUUUUAUUUUUUACAUUUCUAUCCCGCUCUUCUUCCAAGGAGCCCAAAGCAGUGUAGAUGGUUAUGUGUUAUGUACAUGGUUAUGUACCCUCACAACAACCCUGUCAGGUAGGUUAGGCUGAGAGAUACAUGACUGGCCCAAAGUCACCAGUGAGUUUUAUGGCAGAAUGGGGAUUUGAACUCUGGUCUCCCUGGUCCUAGUCCAACAUUCUAACCACGACACCAUGCUGGCAAUGCCUGAAAAAAGGAAACAAUUUUGUGAUGUCUGUUACUUAUGUGAUCUUGUUUCCAUUUCCUUCAAGCAAUUCAAGUUUUUCAAAGAUUAGCUCACUCAAGUUGUGCCUUCUGGGGCCGUGAAUCAUCCCAGGAAUGAAAAUAACUAUUCUAUGGGACCACUUGAUGUUAUAUCGGACAAUGGGAUACCCAUCCAACAUACUAAUGUGCUUGUAUUUGUCCUGAAAAAACUGGAGUAUUUCCAGCUUUUUAAACACUCAAUCAGAUCAAUCAUUCAAAAACAACAUAAUACCACAUUUAUUUUUGCUGUAUUUGCUUCAUUUCUCCAUUCUCACCACUCUCCAUGGAUGUUUGCAUUC